AACCUAGCACACCUGCGGUGUGUACCUGCGGAAGGAUCAUUACCGAGUUUACAACUCCCAAACCCCUGUGAACAUACCUAUACGUUGCCUCGGCGGAUCAGCCCGCGCCCCGUAAAACGGGACGGCCCGCCCGAGGACCCCUAAACUCUGUUUUUAGUGGAACUUCUGAGUAAAACAAACAAAUAAAUCAAAACUUUCAACAACGGAUCU
rnacentral:misc_RNA from 1 species